rnacentral:ncRNA from 11 species
GAUUGGGUGGCAGAUAGGGAUGCGAUAGAUUGUAAAUCUAGGUAGGAAGGUUCAAGUCCUUUCCUGGUCA